UAGAGGAAGUAAAAGUCGUAACAAGGUCUCCGUUGGUGAACCAGCGGAGGGAUCAUUACUGAGUUUACGCUCUACAACCCUUUGUGAACAUACCUAUAACUGUUGCUUCGGCGGGUAGGGUCUCCGUGACCCUCCCGGCCUCCCGCCCCCGGGCGGGUCGGCGCCCGCCGGAGGAUAACCAAACUCUGAUUUAACGACGUUUCUUCUGAGUGGUACAAGCAAAUAAUCAAAACUUUUAACAACGGAUCUCUUGGUUCUGGCAUCGAUGAAGAACGCAGCGAAAUGCGAUAAGUAAUGUGAAUUGCAGAAUUCAGUGAAUCAUCGAAUCUUUGAACGCACAUUGCGCCCGCCAGCAUUCUGGCGGGCAUGCCUGUUCGAGCGUCAUUUCAACCCUCAAGCUCUGCUUGGUGUUGGGGCCCUACAGCUGAUGUAGGCCCUCAAAGGUAGUGGCGGACCCUCUCGGAGCCUCCUUUGCGUAGUAACUUUACGUCUCGCACUGGGAUCCGGAGGGACUCUUGCCGUAAAACCCCCAAUUUUCCAAAGGUUGACCUCGGAUCAGGUAGGAAUACCCGCUGAACUUAAGCAUAUCAAUAAGCGG
rnacentral:rRNA from 1 species